CACGCCGUAAACUAUGAUUACUCGCUGUUGGCGAUACACAGUCAGUGGCUUAGCGAAAGCAUUAAGUAAUCCACCUGGGGAGUACGUUCGCAAGAAUGAAACUCAAAGGAAUUGACGGGGGCCCGCACAAGCGGAGGAACAUGUGGUUUAAUUCGAUGAUACGCGAGGAACCUUACCCGGGCUUAAAUGUAUUUUGCAUGAUGUGGAAACACAUCUUUCCUUCGGGACUAUUUACAAGGUGC
rnacentral:rRNA from 1 species